UACAGAGGGGGCAAGCGUUGUUCGGAAUUACUGGGCGUAAAGCGUCUGUAGGUGGCUUUUCAAGUCCGCCGUCAAAUCCCAGGGCUCAACCCUGGACAGGCGGUGGAAACUACCAAGCUGGAGUACGGUAGGGGCAGAGGGAAUUUCCGGUGGAGCGGUGAAAUGCAUUGAGAUCGGAAAGAACACCAACGGCGAAAGCGCUCUGCUGGGCCGACACUGACACUGAGAGACGAAAGCUAGGGGAGCAAAUGGG
rnacentral:rRNA from 1 species